rnacentral:tmRNA from 1 species
GGGGGCGAAACGGUUUCGACGGGGACGUCGAUGCUCCCGGGUUGCGCGCCGAGGCCCCGCACCCUCGUCAAAAGCGGGAACCACAUAGUCGCCAACGACUAUAGCUACGCUCACGCGGCUUAAGCCGCGUGCGUCCGACCGCCGAAUGCCCGUUUAAGCGGAAGGGCGUCGACUCUACGGGAUAGCCCGAUGCCCCCUCCCGGGGGGCGGAUGGGCGAAAUUCAAGCCGGGAUGGUCCGAAGGGAACCCUGCCGGCCGGGGUCCCCGGGGACGAGAAUCAAAUGACCGGAAACGCGCGUAGUAGCCCGGAGUAAAGAGUCUUCGGACGGGGGUUCAACUCCCCCCGCCUCCACCA